rnacentral:rRNA from 1 species
GCUGACGAGUGGCGGACGGGUGAGUAAUGUCUGGGAAACUGCCUGAUGGAGGGGGAUAACUACUGGAAACGGUAGCUAAUACCGCAUAACGUCGCAAGACCAAAGAGGGGGACCUUCGGGCCUCUUGCCAUCGGAUGUGCCCAGAUGGGAUUAGCUAGUAGGUGGGGUAACGGCUCACCUAGGCGACGAUCCCUAGCUGGUCUGAGAGGAUGACCAGCCACACUGGAACUGAGACACGGUCCAGACUCCUACGGGAGGCAGCAGUGGGGAAUAUUGCACAAUGGGCGCAAGCCUGAUGCAGCCAUGCCGCGU